rnacentral:rRNA from 1 species
GACGGAGGAUGCAAGUGUUAUCCGGAAUCACUGGGCGUAAAGCGUCUGCAGGUGGUUUCUUAAGUCCACUGUUAAACCUUGAGGCUCAACCUCAAAUCAGCAUUGGAAACUGGGAAACUUGAGUAUAGUAGGGGUAGAGGGAAUUUCCAGUGGAGCGGUGAAAUGCGUAGAUAUUGGAAAGAACACCGAUGGCGAAGGCACUCUACUGGGCUAUUACUGACACUCAGAGACGAAAGCUAGGGGAGCAAAUGGG